rnacentral:rRNA from 1 species
GAUCAUGGCUCAGGACGAACGCUGGCGGCGCGCCUAACACAUGCAAGUCGAACGAGCGAGAGAGAGCUUGCUUUCUCAAGCGAGUGGCGAACGGGUGAGUAACGCGUGGGGAACCUGCCUCAAAGGAGGGGGACAACAGUUGGAAACGACUGCUAAUACCGCAUAAGCCCACAGCUCGGCAUCGAGCAGAGGGAAAAGGAGCAAUCCGCUUUGAGAUGGCCUCGCGUCCGAUUAGCUGGUUGGUGAGGUAACGGCCCACCAAGGCAACGAUCGGUAGCCGGACUGAGAGGUUGAACGGCCACAUUGGGACUGAGACACGGCCCAGACUCCUACGGGAGGCAGCAGGUGGGGAAUAUUGCACAAUGGGGGAAACCCUGAUGCAGCGACGCCGCGUGGAGGAAGAAGGUCUUCGGAUUGUAAACUCCUGUUGUUGAGGAAGAUAAUGACGGUACUCAACAAGGAAGUGACGGCUAACUACGUG